CACUGAUCUAUGAGCAUAACAGAAUAUCAGUAGUCAUUUCAUUAAUGCAAAGCAUCCAUUUAUUCAUUUAUUUAUCAUUUUCUGUAUGCUAUUUUUCACAUCAUAAACAUACCCAAAGGCUGCUCUUCCGAUAUAAGCUUCCUCCCACAUGCUCAUGCAAUUUAUCUUCAUUUUUCAUGACAAUAUUUGAUUUGUUGCUCUCAUACUUUCUUCAUCUCUACACUCUCCAUAAAGUGCUCUCCAAUGUCAAUAAUAAUCUUUUUGCAGGGCUGAUCUUGCUCACCUUCAUCAGUUUUUGAUGGGGAAACAUCUUUUAUCACUCCUAUGUUGUGAGUCUUUGUGCUAUUUAGGAGGUGUUUAUUCUUUUUUCUUCAUUUUCUUUUGCAGUUUGGCUCUUAUCAGCACAUAUUUCUUCAUAUAUAUCAUCAAAGGUAUCAUCAAACUCAUACUGUAGACUUUGCAAUGGGGUACAAAGCAUGGUGGGAAGCAUUUGACAGAUCAGCUGGCUAAAUGGCCUGCCCCAUCCUGCAUGUGUCCUUCCAAGAUGCCAACUAGAUUUGUAGUGUGUGGGUGGAAAUAGAUAUAAAGAUAUGUUGCACUUAUAGUCAAGAAAGAAGUAAAAUGAGGAGGAGGAACAGGAGGGGACUCAGAAGGAUGCCAAUGCAGCCAGCACAUGAAAGGAAAGUGGGUAGCACUAUGAAAUCAAGCUGAGAGAGGAAGCAAGCACCAAACCAAACAGUAAUAUAUCACAUCCAUGCAGAAAGUCCAAUCGCCUUUUUAUGUAAAUAACUGAUCAGGGUAAAAAUAU